CAAUCGCAUUCCUAGUACAGUUUCUUGAGUACAUUCGUUGCUAAAUAUGUUCCUGAAUUCAAGAUCCUGGCCCAACACGCGGCGGCCACUUGCGGUGUGUGUCAGCCAGUCAGCCGAACGGUAUGCCUCAGUGAAAACACUUUUUCCGCAUGCGUGAAAGGAGUACCACUGAAUGAUAUAAUUAAGUGCCCAACCAAUUUCUUUUGCACCGAUGGUGACUACACUUGCUAUGAAAAUGCUGACCCGGUCUGCAACGCGGAUAGUGCACCUGAAACAACCACCACUGUGAAGCCGUGGACUGCCGAGGAAGCCUGCCAGCAAACCACAAAAUCGGGCUUUCUGGAAAACGAAAAUGAUCCCACAUGCACUUCCUACUUGUAUUGUAAAUUCGCAACGGAUGGGAGUUUAGAAAUUGUCAAUCUCAAUUGCCCGACUAACAAAUACUUUGAUGCGUCCAUAAAAGGAUGUACGGACACAAAACCCGCUGGAUGUACUGAAGUGGCAACCACACUACCGACAGAUGAGACAACUACGACAACCACUGAAAAGCCUUGGAGCGCAGAGGAAACCUGCCUGAAUGUGACAAAAUCGAAAUCUUUUACGAACGAAGAUGAUCCCACAUGCGCCACCUACCUCUUUUGCUAUGUUGCAAAUGGAGCAGUUAAGGCGCUGAUCAAAUCCUGUUCAUCCACAACCCCAUACUUUGAUUCUACUAUAAGUAGCUGCAGUGCCACGAAACCAGACAAUUGUACAUAAUAAUUCCUAAGUAGUAUGUAAUUCUUGAUAUGUUUCAUAUGUUUUCGAUUAUAUUUUUGGUACCCGUUUGGGUAUUGUUGUACUUACUUCCUGAGUUUUUUUAAAAAGACUAACUUAUCUGGGCCAAUUCCAGCGAAAAUACUGAUAGUACCCCUUGUAUUACGUUCGCAUUAAAGUCCGUCAUAAAAGUUUAUAAUGGUGUAUAGAUAAAAGACUAUAUAGAUGAAUAAUUUCGGGUAUAAAAACCCCAGUGUGGCCUUCCAGAUUUGAAAGAUUUUUCCAGAUUAGAGAGUAGAUCAUCAUAUGGGCGAAAUUUAUUUGAUCGCUGCUACUGGUGCAAAGCCUGGCUGCGCACACAGCACCCGAAUUAGAUGACCAAACCGCACAGGAAUGAAGUGCCGAAAAGGCCUGCUUGGAAGUGACGAGACCGGGUUCAUUUGAAAAUCAAAACGAUCCCCCUUGCGGCAGCUACGUCUUUUGUUACAUGUCAAAUGGACCAUCAACGGCGCUGGUCUUUUUCUGCACGGAAAACUUUUACUAUGAUGCGACAUUAAGAGCAUGUACUGCCAAAAAGCCGGAGAAAUGUAUAUAAUAAAGAAUCGCCAGGGAUAUCGCUUUAGCCGCACCAUUUCAUUCAACAAUAAGCCAGAGAUUUCCCAACCUAAUAAUAUUCCCUUUCCAAUAAACACAUUGGUAUUCGAAG